rnacentral:piRNA from 1 species
UGAGAAUAAAAGAACCUGUUUGCUUUCACC